rnacentral:lncRNA from 1 species
CAAAACUUGGGGAACAUCAUAAUAUUGUGGGAGGAGUCAUUUGGUGGGUUUUGAGUGAAAUCCAAUCUCUAGAACUAUACAAUACACCAACCACCCCAUUUCAGAACGAACUUCGUACGAACUGAAUUGUCCUAUUUCAAGGACCAAUCGAUAUCGGAUUGAGUCCAAAACUUGGGGAACAUCAGAAUAUUGUGGGAGGAGUCAUUUAGUGGGUUUUGAGUGAAAUCCAAUCCCUAGAACUAUACAAUACACCAACCACUCCAUUUCAGAACGAACUUCGUACGAACCUGAAUUGUCCGAUUUCAAGCCCCAAUCGAUAUCGGAUUGAGUCUAAAACUUGGGGAACAUCAUAAAAUUGUGGGAGGUGUCAUUUGGUGGGUUUUGAGUGAAAUCCAUUCCCUAGAACUAUGCAAUACACCAACCACUCCAUUUCAGAACGAACUUCGAACGAACCUGAAUUGUCCGAUUUCAAGCCCCAAUCGAUAUCGGAUUGAGUCCAAAACUUGGGGAAUAUCAGAAUACUGUGGAGGAGUCAUUUAGUGGGUUUUGAGUGAAAUCCAAUCCCUAGAACUAUACAAUACACCAACCACUCUAUUUCAGAACGAACUUCGUACGAACCUGAACUGUCAAAUUUCGUGGACCGAUCGAUUUCGGAUUGAGUCCAAAACUUGGGGAACAUCAUAAUAUUGUGGGAGGAGUCGUUUGGUGGGUUUUGAGUGAAAUACAAUCCCUUGAACUAUACAAUAAACCAACCAUUCCAUUUCAGAACGAACUUCGUACGUACUGGAAUUGUCAAAUUUCGUGGACCGAUCGAUAGCGGAUUGAGUCCAAAACUUGGGGAACAACAUAAUAUUGUGGGAGGAGUCAUUUGGUGGGUUUGGAGUGAAAUCCAAUCUCUAGAACUAUACAAUACACCAACCACUCCAUUUCAGAACGAACUUCGUCCGAACCUGAAUUGUCAAAUUUCGAGGACUGAUCGAUAUCGGAUAGAGUCCAAAACUUGGGGAACAACAGAAUAUUGUGAGAGGAGGCAUUUGGUGGGUUUUGAGUGAAAUACAAUCCCUAAAACUAUACAAUACACCAACCACCCCAUUUCAGAACGAAUUUCGUACGAACCUGAAUUGUCCGAUUUCAAGGACCAAUCUAUAUCGGAUUGAGUCCAAAGGAAUAUCAUAAUAUUAUGGGAGGAGUCAUUUGGUGGGUUUUGAGUGAAAUACAAUCCCUAGAACUAUACAAUACACCAACCACUCCAUUUCAGAAAGAACUUGGUACGAACCUGAAUUGUUCAAUUUCGUGGACCGAUCGAUAUCGGAUUGAGUCCAAAACUUGGGGAACAUCAUAAUAUUGUGGGAGGAUUCGUUUGGUGGAUUUUGAGUGAAAUUCAAUCUCUAGAACUCUACAAUACACCAACCACCCCAUUGCAGAACGAACUUCGUACGAACCUGAAUUUGUCCGAUUUCAAGGACCAAUCGAUAUCGGAUUCAGUCCAAAACUUGGGGAACAUCAGAAUAUUGUGGGAGGAGUCAUUUAGUGGGUUUUGAGUGAAUUCGAAUCCCUGGAACUAUACAAUAUACCAACCACUCCAUUUCAGAACGAACUUCGUACGAACCUGAACUGUCAAAUUUCGUGGACCGAUCGAUAUCGGAUUGAGUCCAAAAGUUGGGGAACAUCAUAAUAUUGUGGGAGAAGUCAUUUGGUGGGUUUUGAGUGAAAUCCAAUCUCUAAAACUAUACAAUACACCAACCACCCCAUUUGAGAACGAACUUUCUACGAACUUGAAUUGUCCGAUUUCAAGGACCAAUCGAUAUCGGAUUAAGUCCUAAACUUGGGGAACAUCAAAAUAUUGUAGGAGGAGUUAUUUGGUGGGUCUUGAGUGAAAUACAAUCCCUAGAACUAUACAAUACACCACCCACUCCAUUUCAGAACGAACUUCGUACGAACCUGAAUUGUCCAAUUUCGUGGACCGAUCGAUAUCGGAUUGAGUCCAAAACUUGGGGAACAUCAUAAUAUUGUGGGAGGAGUCGUUUGGUGGAUUUUGAGUGAAAUUCAAUCUCUAGAACUCUACAAUACACCAACCACCCCAUUUCAGAACGAACUUCGUACGAACCUGAAUUUGUCCGAUUUCAAGGACCAAUCGAUAUCAGAUUGAGUCCAAAACUUGGGGAACAUCAGAAUAUUGUGGGAGGAGUCAUUUGGUGGGUUUUGAGUGAAAUACAAUCCCUAGAACUAUACAAUACACCAACCACUCCAUUUCAGAACGAACUUCGUACGAACCUGAAUUGUCAAAUUUCGUGGACCGAUUGAUAUCGAAUUGAGUCCAAAACUUGGGAAACAUCAUAAUAUUGUGGGAGGAGUCAUUUGGCACGUUUUGAGUGAAAUACAAUCCCUAGAACUAUACAAUACACCAACCAAUCCAUUUCAGAACGAACUUCGUACGAACCUGAAUUGUCAAAUUUCGUGGACCGAUCGAUAACGGAUUGAGUCCAAAACUUGGGGAACAUCAUAAUAUUGUGGGAGGAGUCAUUUGGUGGGUUUUGAGUGAAAUCCAAUCUCUAGAACUAUACAAUACACCGACCACCCCAUUGCAUCACGAACUUCGUACGAACCUGAAUUGUCCGAUUUCAAGGACCAAUCCAUAUCGGAUUGAAUCCAAAACUUGGGGAAGAUCAUAAUAUUGUGGGAGGUGUCAUUUGAUGGGUUUUGAGUGAAAUCCAAUCUCUAGAACUAUACAACACACCAACCUCCCCAUUUCCGAACGAACUUCGUACGAACUUGAAUUGUCCGAUUUCAAGGACGCAAUCGAUAUCGGAUUGAGUCCAAAACUUGGGGAACAUCAUAAUCUNNNNNNNNNNNNNNNNNNNNNNNNNNNNNNNNNNNNNNNNNNNNNNNNNNNNNNNNNNNNNNNNNNNNNNNNNNNNNNNNNNNNNNNNNNNNNNNNNNNNCGUUUUGAGUGAAAUCCAAUCUCUAGAACUAUACAAUACACCAACCACCCCAUUUCAGAACGAACUUCGUGCGAACCUGAAUUGUCCGAUUUCAAGGACCAAUCGAUAUCGGAUUGAGUCCAAAACUUGGGGAACAUCAUAAUAUGGUGGGAGGAGUCAUUUGGUGGGUUUUGAGUGAAAUACAAUCUCUAGAACUAGACAAUACACCAACUACCCCAUUUCAGAACGAACUUCGUACGAACCUGAAUUGUCCGAUUUCAAGGACCACUCGAUAUCGGAUUGAGUCCAAAACUUGGGGAACAUCAUAAUAUUGUGGGAGGAGUCAUUUGGUGGGUUUUGAGUGAAAUCCAAUCUCU